rnacentral:rRNA from 1 species
CCACCGACUCUCGGCAACGGAUAUCUCGGCUCUCGCAUCGAUGAAGAACGUAGCAAAAUGCGAUACCUGGUGUGAAUUGCAGAAUCCCGCGAACCAUCGAGUUUUUGAACGCAAGUUGCGCCCGAGGCCUUCUGGUCGAGGGCACGUCUGCCUGGGCGUCACGC